GCGACCGGCGCACGGGUGAGUAACACGUAUCCAACCUGCCGAUAACUCGGGGAUAGCCUUUCGAAAGAAAGAUUAAUACCCGAUGGUAUAAUUAGACCGCAUGGUCUUGUUAUUAAAGAAUUUCGGUUAUCGAUGGGGAUGCGUUCCAUUAGGCAGUUGGUGAGGUAACGGCUCACCAAACCUUCGAUGGAUAGGGGUUCUGAGAGGAAGGUCCCCCACAUUGGAACUGAGACACGGUCCAAACUCCUACGGGAGGCAGCAGUGAGGAAUAUUGGUCAAUGGGCGCAGGCCUGAACCAGCCAAGUAGCGUGAAGGAUGACUGCCCUAUGGGUUGUAAACUUCUUUUAUAUGGGAAUAAAGUUUUCCACGUGUGGAAUUUUGUAUGUACCAUAUGAAUAAGGAUCGGCUAACUCCGUGCCAGCAGCCGCGGUAAUACGGAGGAUCCGAGCGUUAUCCGGAUUUAUUGGGUUUAAAGGGAGCGUAGGUGGACAGUUAAGUCAGUUGUGAAAGUUUGCGGCUCAACCGUAAAAUUGCAGUUGAUACUGGCUGUCUUGAGUA
rnacentral:rRNA from 1 species